rnacentral:lncRNA from 1 species
GGGCAUAUAUAUAAUGCUAAGAAAAUUAAACAAAAGAUACCUUAGUGGAAAAUUUUUUUUGAACCAAAUACUAGUGAGCAAAGGGAAGAUGAAUUUUGGCCUAAAUUGCAAUAACAUUAAUACUUGAUUCCCCUGUUUUAAAUAUUGUAAAAAAGGCAUGAUAAAUCAUCUAUCCACAUAUUUGACAGUAUCAAAUACAAAAAUUACAAACAACUAUGAUAAAUAUCCCUAGUAGAAACAGAAUUAAAUUACUCAGACAUGCCUUAAUGAGAAAUUCAUGAACAACAUAUGCAGAAUUAAAAAAAUGAAAGCAGAAGGCCAAUAAUAUCAAAAGGAAACAACACGCUACGCUACCAAAUAACAAAUGUUACCUGCCCCUCGGGACAUAGUUCAGUAAUGCAAAGGAUAGGAGUGAGGUUAUCUCACGUCUUAUUGGCAGCUGCAAUAUAGAUGUUCGAUUCCUGAGACAUGAAAUUGGACUCCUUGUCAGCGCAGUAUACAGACAGCUUUUGUUCCUUGCCCUGCUGGAGCACAUCUCGCAAUUUACAUCUCUCACAAAGCUCUAGUGGCCGGACGGUGGGACCCUCAAGAUUGUGGUUCAACUUUUAAAUAACAAAUGUUACCUUCAUUCUUAAUUCCAACCAGAAGUUCACCUACUUCCCCAACCACAACCACUAAAAAGGAAUCUAAUUAGAGCUACAUCUCUUCAAUAAGCAACCACAAAAUGAAGAAAAUAACACUGCAUGAAGAGUAAGAUAGCAUAAUAGUGAACCCUCACAUUUAGAGGGCUUCUGGGAAAAACACAAUUGUUCUCUACUCUUGGGGCUGGGCCAAAACUUCCGAAACCAAAAUUCACUACAAAAUGCUUCACUCCAUUACUAAUAAUCCACUGGCGUGGGAGAUUUGAUCGGAAAGUGUCGGCGGCGGGCUUAGGGCUUCAGCACUGACAUUUGAUGAGAGAGAUCCCUUUAGUCUGCCAUAAGGUUUAGGGCCUCAGCAUUUGAUUUGAGAGGAAUGUGAAGAUUUUUGUUUUAGAGGGAAUGGAAAAAUU